rnacentral:lncRNA from 1 species
AUCAGCUUGGGUUCUGACUUGCAGGAACUCCCAGCCUGGUGCUGCGGGCCAGGGAGCAUGAGAGCUCCUGGUGAAGGGGUUGGGAUUCCCAGUAUGAGGUGCUCCUCAAGGGAAAAUGAAGGAAAAUGUGAAACCAAAAACUGCCUGAGUUGGUUGUGAACACAAACACGAGGCUGCAGCCCCAGCCGCAGGGUUUCACACCUGCUUACCUGCUCGGGGCACCUCACCAGGCAGACUGCAGCCGUGCUUGGUAGUUCCACCCACUGCAUCCCUGAUGGAGCAGGCCCGAGGGAGGUUCCUAGGAAACCUGUGGGACAUCCAGGCUGGGAUCUGGAGGAUGCGGAAUCCAGUGGGAGGAAGUGAAGGCAGGAAGGCGAGGGGCCAGCCCAAGGCUUCAUCACUGGGCUAGCACAGCUCAGACAGAGCACCAGCCACCCAUUCUCCUCUGCACACCAACCUUCAUUUAUCCUUGGAGCCUCAGUUAGUGCCUUGAGAAAUGAUGUUUACGUCAUCAUCAUAGUUAGUGUUUGCUGAGGGCCUCCCUGACUUCAGCUCCCUGGAAUGCAGCCUUCCCUCCUGGGGCCUCCUGACCAGGAGCAAAGGGCCCUGACUGGUCUGUUCAUGUGGAGCUGUCAGGAAAAGAACUCCUGCGGGGAGCCGCUAAUCCCAGAGUAAACAGAUGACCUCGUGGUGCCUUUCUCCCGGAGGUGGGGUUCCUAGCGCAGCGCCCCAACUGUGCAAACAGACCCCGGAGGGCUCGGUGCGCCUGCAGGGGCGUGGCCAGGGACCUGGGCCUGGGGCCAGGAGGGGCCUUUCCCUCUUGCCAGCCCUCUUUCUUCCUUUGUGAUUUCAAUUGAAUGGGGAGAAGCUCAAAGGCAGGGGCAGGAAAGGUCAAAGCCAAUUUGCAGGGCCAAGUGUGGGGGAGGAGAGAAGGGCUCAGACCAAGGUUUUUUUUUUUUUUUUUUGGAGGCCUGACCUUCACCUGGAAGCAACUCCUCCCCCUCCUGGGUCUUCUGCGGACACUGCCCUGGCAGAGCUGGCUUUGCAUCCUGGCCGCCUCCCUUACUAGCUGUGUGACAGAGGCCAGCAAGUGCACCUUUCUGAGCCUCAGUUUCCUCACUUGGAAAGCAGACGUUCCUGGCAGCCCUGAGGGCUGUGCACACGGGCCAGGCUGA